rnacentral:rRNA from 1 species
CGUAGGGUGCAAGCGUUGUCCGGAAUUAUUGGGCGUAAAGAGCUCGUAGGCGGUUUGUAGCGUCGGCUGUGAAAUCCCGAGGCUCAACCUCGGGUCUGCAGUCGAUACGAGCAAACUAGAGUGUUGCAGGGGAGACUGGAAUUCCUGGUGUAGCGGUGAAAUGCGCAGAUAUCAGGAGGAACACCGGUGGCGAAGGCGGGUCUCUGGGCAACAACUGACGCUGAGGAGCGAAAGCGUGGGGAGCGAACAGGAUUAGACACCCUGGUAGUCCACGCCGUAAACGUUGGGCGCUAGGUGUGGGGCUCAUUCCACGAGUUCCGUGCCGCAGCUAACGCAUUAAGCGCCCCGCCUGGGGAGUACGGCCGCAAGGCUA